rnacentral:rRNA from 1 species
GUGAGGAAUAUUGCGCAAUGGAGGCAACUCUGACGCAGCCAUGCCGCGUGCAGGAAGAAGGCGCUACGCGUUGUAAACUGCUUUUAACCGGGAAGAAACCCCAGGACGUGUCCUGGGUUGACGGUACCGGAGGAAUAAGCACCGGCUAACUUCGUGCCAGCAGCCGCGGUAAUACGAAGGGUGCAAGCGUUAUCCGGAUUCAUUGGGUUUAAAGGGUGCGUAGGCGGAGCGUAAAGUCAGUGGUGAAAUCCUGCAGCUUAACUGUAGACGUGCCAUUGAUACUGGCGCUCUUGAGUGCGCUUGAAGUGGGCGGAAUGUGCCGUGUAGCGGUGAAAUGCUUAGAUAUGGCACAGAACACCAAUUGCGAAGGCAGCUCACUAAGGCGAUACUGACGCUGAGGCACGAAAGCGUGGGGAUCGAACAGGAUUAGAUACCCUAGUAGUCC